rnacentral:rRNA from 1 species
UACGAAGGGGGCUAGCGUUGCUCGGAAUCACUGGGCGUAAAGCGCACGUAGGCGGAUUGUUAAGUCAGGGGUGAAAUCCUGGAGCUCAACUCCAGAACUGCCUUUGAUACUGGCGAUCUUGAGUCCGGGUGAGGUGAGUGGAACUGCGAGUGUAGAGGUGAAAUUCGUAGAUAUUCGCAAGAACACCAGUGGCGAAGGCGGCUCACUGGCCCGGUACUGACGCUGAGGUGCGAAAGCGUGGGGAGCAAACAGG